UUUUCAGGUUCUUCUAAACCUGGGUUUUGUUCAUAUUAAAGUGAAAAGAGAAGUGGGAAAAAAGCAAAAAAGUAAUAAACUUUACUCAGAUUUUAGCUCUCUGAGAGACAGUUAUUGAAAGGGAGCUAAGGAGAAGUUGAGUGCUGCUUGUCAAAGAUUUGAACUUUUUUGAAUUUUUGAACUGUAAGCUAGAUAAAAGUGCAAUCUUUUGGAAUUGUUUGGUUUCUGGGAUCUUUCUGAACAAGAACAUCAGGACCUUCAAGACUGAAAAGGGAAAGUUUUCGCGACUUUGGAUUGAUAGAGUUUCGCCUGAGGGAAGCUGUUAGUAGGUAGAAAAGAUGGAUAGGGUGUCGAGGAUUCUUUUUAGUGUUCUGACAGAACCGCAACGAGGAGGACAGUCUUUCAUCACGUCGAUUAAGAUUGCUGUUUUACCGAUUGCGAAAGUGUUUACACUAUGCUUCUUGGGAUUUUUGAUGGCCUCCAAGUAUGUCAAUAUUCUUCCAGCAAAUGGACGGAAGCUUUUAAAUGGGUUGGUGUUUUCACUUUUGCUGCCAUGCUUGAUAUUCUCUCAACUUGGACAAGCCAUUACGUAUGAGAAAUUGCUUCAGUGGUGGUUCAUCCCUGUUAACAUUGUUUUGGCCACCAUAUUUGGUUCUAUUAUUGGUUUAAUUGUUGCUACGAUAGUCCGUCCGCCAUACCCUUAUUUCAAGUUUACCAUUAUACAGAUUGGCAUUGGGAACAUAGGAAAUGUUCCACUUGUUCUGAUAGCUGCGUUAUGUCGUGACCCAUCAAAUCCUUUUGGUGACUCUGAGAUAUGUGCGCGAGAUGGAAAUGCAUACAUCUCUUUUGGACAGUGGGUUGGUGCAAUUAUCCUCUACACCUUUGUAUUCCAAAUGCUCUCACCUCCUCCUGAAGGUUCCUUCGAUGUUGAAGAUGCAAACCUUCCUAUCAAGGUUCCUAACAAAGAAAGAUUACCGAGUCAUCCAUCAGGUAGUUCUGCAGAGCAAGUUCCAUUACUUGCAACAAAUGUUGCACCAGCCGACUCUAGUAGUUCAAAUAAAGAAAAGGUUAAACAGUUCUUUAAAUUUCUCUAUGAGACACUGAAGCUCAAGCAACUUAUUCAACCUCCCAUUAUAGCUUCUAUCAUAGCGAUUAUCAUAGGAUGUGUGCCGGUCCUGAAACGCCUCAUCUUUACUUCUGAUGCUCCACUUUACUUCUUCACUGACAGCUGUUUAAUUCUUGGGGAUGCCAUGAUUCCCUGCAUAUUGUUGGCCUUAGGAGGCAAUCUCGUUGACGGUAAGUAACAAUUCUUUGUCUUCCUUUGAACUUUAUUUUUCGUCAUUUUUUUGUGGUAAAUCUUGUUAUUCACUGAGUAUGUUUAAUUCGUAGGUGCUCCCAUUUACUGCCUUGAUAUUUGAAUCUCUGCAGGGCCAGGACCUGGAAGUUCAAAAAUUGGUCUUAAGACAACUGUUGCGAUUGUGUUUGCACGGUUGUGUUUGGUUCCUCCAACUGGACUCAGUAUUGUCAUGUUAGCUGAUAAGCUUGGCUUCCUUCCUCCUGGUGAUAAGAUGUUCCGGUUUGUCCUACUUCUUCAACAU
rnacentral:misc_RNA from 1 species